rnacentral:sRNA from 1 species
UUACUUCAGCUGUCACAGAGUUUGCGGG